rnacentral:rRNA from 1 species
GAUGAACGCUGGCGGCGUGCCUAAUACAUGCAAGUAGAACGCUGAAGGAGGAGCUUGCUCUUCUGGAUGAGUUGCGAACGGGUGAGUAACGCGUAGGUAACCUGCCUGGUAGCGGGGGAUAACUAUUGGCAACGAUAGCUAAUACCGCAUGACAACAGUUAUUGCAUGAUAACUGUUUAAAAGGGGCAACUGCUCCACUACCAGAUGGACUUGCGUUGUAUUAGCUAGUUGGUGAGGUAACGGCUCACCAAGGCGACGAUACAUAGCCGACCUGAGAGGGUGAUCGGCCACACUGGGACUGAGACACGGCCCAGACUCCUACGGGAGGCAGCAGUAGGGAAUCUUCGGCAAUGGACGGAAGUCUGACCGAGCAACGCCGCGUGAGUGAAGAAGGUUUUCGGAUCGUAAAGCUCUGUUGUAAGAGAAGAACGAGUGUGAGAGUGGAAAGUUCACACUGUGACGGUAUCUUACCAGAAAGGGACGGCUAACUACGUG